UGUUUUAUCAUGAUUUUCUUGAAAGCAUACUUCAUGGCUAUAGGUAGAACUAAAUGUAACAUGUUUUUGUGAUUUAAUAGAGCAAUUUAAAUUAGCUGCACUUGAAGAUAUGGAAAUGCAUGGGCGACCGGACUUCAUAACCACUUGUUCAUGGUAAAAUGUGUGGUAUAUGAUUUUAGUACAUCAAAUCCUGAGUUAAUGAAGGAAUAUUUUUGUGGUAAAAAAGAUUGGAGGACAAAGAAGAAGAAUUGAUUUGCAAAGCAUAAGCAAGGGUGAUGGACGACUAUGAAGUACAAUGGCGAUGUGCCCGCUGGUCUUUGGACAUGGCAGUACCUUGCUCCGCUGCUUGAGACAUGGGCCAGCCGACCCUGCAUGUCCCAAUGAAGUAAAGGAGGCCAACUUUCUGCAGAAAUCUUUAAUGAUAAAGAUGAUCUUAAGUUCAAUCAUCACAAGACACAAAUAUUAAGUAUUUCUUAGUAGCAGCCGGACGAAGCCAUCUCUACCUGAUUAUUGAGUGCCAUUUGCUUCUUAAUGGACUUAAGACCUAUGGAAGCUGUUCCACAACCCCAAAUUGUAGUUGAGGAGCCAACUAUAAUAAUUCUAUGAGAUGGUACUUACUGGAGGCGGUUUGAUCUCUCGACGGAGCUGAUUACAACCGAGGAUAACGAACAGGAGAUUUGGGGGUUGGUGACUGAUCCAUGAAGACAAUGCUGAAGUGCCACUUGUUGGAGGAAGUUGACGUCGAAGUGUUAUUUGCCGGAGGAAGAUGAUGUACCAGCGGUACUCUGAAAUCUAGAGGACAAUGAAGUUUUGGGGUGGUCGAAGCAUUGCCUGGUGAAGAUAUUUUAGGGAUAGCUGAGUUUCUCACGUUUGCACGAUGAAAGGAGAGGCUGUUUGGAUGUUGAGGGACUUUAUCUAUGUCUAAGCGAACACUAUACACUAUUGAGAGAGUUUGGUUGUCUUGAGAGGUUGUAUCUUUGUACAGGAUUGUGAGAGGCCGAGAGUUAUUUGCAAAAAACAAAAAAGAACAUUAGAGUUUGGUCAUUGUACCAUGUACUUGCGUGUGUGCUGAUCAAUUUUUUAUAU